AUUGAACGCUGGCGGCACGCCUUACACAUGCAAGUCGAACGGCAGCACGGGGCAACCUGGUGGCGAGUGGCGAACGGGUGAGUAAUGCAUCGGAACGUGCCAUUGAGUGGGGGAUAACGUAGCGAAAGUUGCGCUAAUACCGCAUAUUCUGUGAGCAGGAAAGCAGGGGACCGCAAGGCCUUGCGCUCUUUGAGCGGCCGAUGUCAGAUUAGCUAGUUGGUGAGGUAACGGCUUACCAAGGCGACGAUCUGUAGCGGGUCUGAGAGGAUGAUCCGCCACACUGGAACUGAGACACGGUCCAGACUCCUACGGGAGGCAGCAGUGGGGAAUUUUGGACAAUGGGCGCAAGCCUGAUCCAGCCAUGCCGCGUGAGUGAAGAAGGCCUUCGGUUGGUUAAAGACGUACUUUCGGUCCGGGAACGG
rnacentral:rRNA from 1 species